ACGCUGGCGGCGUGCCUAAUACAUGCAAGUAGAACGCUGAAGGAGGAGCUUGCUUCUCUGGAUGAGUUGCGAACGGGUGAGUAACGCGUAGGUAACCUGCCUGGUAGCGGGGGAUAACUAUUGGAAACGAUAGCUAAUACCGCAUAACAGUAGAUGUUGCAUGACAUUUGCUUAAAAGGUGCAAUUGCAUCACUACCAGAUGGACCUGCGUUGUAUUAGCUAGUUGGUGGGGUAACGGCUCACCAAGGCGACGAUACAUAGCCGACCUGAGAGGGUGAUCGGCCACACUGGGACUGAGACACGGCCCAGACUCCUACGGGAGGCAGCAGUAGGGAAUCUUCGGCAAUGGACGGAAGUCUGACCGAGCAACGCCGCGUGAGUGAAGAAGGUUUUCGGAUCGUAAAGCUCUGUUGUAAGAGAAGAACAGGUGUGAGAGUGGAAAGUUCACACUGUGACGGUAUCUUACCAGAAAGGGACGGCUAACUACGUGCCAGCAGCCGCGGUAAUACGUAGGUCCCGAGCGUUGUCCGGAUUUAUUGGGCGUAAAGCGAGCGCAGGCGGUUAGAUAAGUCUGAAGUUAAAGGCUGUGGCUUAACCAUAGUACGCUUUGGAAACUGUUUAACUUGAGUGCAAGAGGGGAGAGUGGAAUUCCAUGUGUAGCGGUGAAAUGCGUAGAUAUAUGGAGGAACACCGGUGGCGAAAGCGGCUCUCUGGCUUGUAACUGACGCUGAGGCUCGAAAGCGUGGGGAGCAAACAGGAUUAGAUACCCCUGGUAGUCCACGCCGUAAACGAUGAGUGCUAGGUGUUAGACCCUUUCCGGGGUUUAGUGCCGCAGCUAACGCAUUAAGCACUCCGCCUGGGGAGUACGACCGCAAGGUUGAAACUCAAAGGAAUUGAC
rnacentral:rRNA from 1 species